UACGAAGGGGGCUAGCGUUGUUCGGAAUUACUGGGCGUAAAGCGCACGUAGGCGGAUUGCUAAGUCAGGGGUGAAAUCCCGGGGCUCAACCUCGGAACUGCCUUUGAUACUGACAAUCUCGAGUCCGGAAGAGGUGGGUGGAAUUCCUAGUGUAGAGGUGAAAUUCGUAGAUAUUAGGAAGAACACCAGUGGCGAAGGCGGCCCACUGGUCCGGCACUGACGCUGAGGUGCGAAAGCGUGGGGAGCAAACAGG
rnacentral:rRNA from 1 species